GACGAACGCUGGCGGCGUGCUUAACACAUGCAAGUCGAACGGAAAGGCCCUGCUUUUGUGGGGUGCUCGAGUGGCGAACGGGUGAGUAACACGUGAGUAACCUGCCCUUGACUUUGGGAUAACUUCAGGGAACUGGGGCUAAUACCGGAUAGGAGCUCCUGCUGCAUGGUGGGGGUUGGAAAGUUUCGGCGGUUGGGGAUGGACUCGCGGCUUAUCAGCUUGUUGGUGGGGUAGUGGCUUACCAAGGCUUUGACGGGUAGCCGGCCUGAGAGGGUGACCGGCCACAUUGGGACUGAGAUACGGCCCAGACUCCUACGGGAGGCAGCAGUGGGGAAUAUUGCACAAUGGGCGGAAGCCUGAUGCAGCAACGCCGCGUGCGGGAUGACGGCCUUCGGGUUGUAAACCGCUUUCGCCUGUGACGAAGCGUGAGUGACGGUAAUGGGUAAAGAAGCACCGGCUAACUACGUGCCAGCAGCCGCGGUGAUACGUAGGGUGCGAGCGUUGUCCGGAUUUAUUGGGCGUAAAGGGCUCGUAGGUGGUUGAUCGCGUCGGAAGUGUAAUCUUGGGGCUUAACCCUGAGCGUGCUUUCGAUACGGGUUGACUUGAGGAAGGUAGGGGAGAAUGGAAUUCCUGGUGGAGCGGUGGAAUGCGCAGAUAUCAGGAGGAACACCAGUGGCGAAGGCGGUUCUCUGGGCCUUUCCUGACGCUGAGGAGCGAAAGCGUGGGGAGCGAACAGGCUUAGAUACCCUGGUAGUCCACGCUGUAAACGGUGGGUACUAGGUGUGGGGUCCAUUCCACGGGUUCCGUGCCGUAGCUAACGCUUUAAGUACCCCGCCUGGGGAGUACGGCCGCAAGGCUAAAACUCAAAGGAAUUGACGGGGCCCCGCACAAGCGGCGGAGCAUGCGGAUUAAUUCGAUGCAACGCGUAGAACCUUACCUGGGUUUGACAUGGAUCGGGAGUGCUCAGAGAUGGGUGUGCCUCUUUUGGGGUCGGUUCACAGGUGGUGCAUGGUUGUCGUCAGCUCGUGUCGUGAGAUGUUGGGUUAAGUCCCGCAACGAGCGCAACCCUUGUUCACUGUUGCCAGCACGUUAUGGUGGGGACUCAGUGGAGACCGCCGGGGUCAACUCGGAGGAAGGUGGGGAUGACGUCAAGUCAUCAUGCCCCUUAUGUCCAGGGCUUCACGCAUGCUACAAUGGCUGGUACAGAGAGUGGCGAGCCUGUGAGGGUGAGCGAAUCUCGGAAAGCCGGUCUCAGUUCGGAUUGGGGUCUGCAACUCGACCUCAUGAAGUCGGAGUCGCUAGUAAUCGCAGAUCAGCAACGCUGCGGUGAAUACGUUCCCGGGGCU
rnacentral:rRNA from 1 species